AGUGGCGGACGGGUGAGUAACACGUGAGAAUUUACCUUUAGGAGGGGAAUAACAGUUAGAAAUGACUGCUAAUGCCGCAUAUCAUAAAUAUGAAAGAAGAAAUUCGCCUAAAGAAAAGCUUGCGUCUGAUUAGCUAGUUGGUAAGGGUAAAGGCCUACCAAGGCGACGAUCAGUAGCUGGUUUGAGAGGACGACCAGCCACACUGGAACUGAGACACGGUCCAGACUCCUACGGGAGGCAGCAGUGGGGAAUUUUCUGCAAUGGGCGCAAGCCUGACAGAGCAAUACCGCGUGAGGGAAGAAAGCCCACAGGGUUGUAAACCUCUUUUAUCAAGGAAGAAGUUCUGACGUUACUUGAUGAAUAAGCAUCGGCUAACUCCGUGCCAGCAGCCGCGGUAAGACGGGGGAUGCAAGUGUUAUCCGGAAUCACUGGGCGUAAAGCGUUUGUAGGUGGUCUAGUAAGUCUAUUGUUAAAGCUUGAAGCUUAACUUCAAAAAUGUAAUAGAAACUAUUAGACUUGAGGAUAGUAGGGGUAAAGGGAAUUUCCAGUGGAGCGGUGAAAUGCGUAGAGAUUGGAAGGACCACCGAUGGCGAAGGCACUUUACUGGGCUAUUUCUGACACUAAGAGACGAAAGCUAGGGUAGCGAAUGGGAUUAGAUACCCCAGUAGUCCUAGCUGUAAACGAUGGAUACUAGAUGUUGCGUGUAUCGAUCCAUGCAGUAUCGUAGCUAACGCGUUAAGUAUCCCGCCUG
rnacentral:rRNA from 1 species